AUACUUACCAGGCAGGGUAGAUACCAUAAUUAUGAAGGUGAUUUUCCCAGGGCGAAGCUUAUCCAUUGCACUCUGGAUGUGCUGACCCCUGCAAUUUCCCCAAAUGUGGGAAACUCAACUGCGUAAUUUGUGGUAGUGAGGGACUGUGUUAGCAAUCUCCCCUG
ensembl:snRNA U1 U1 spliceosomal RNA